GACGAACUCUUUCUUCGUGCUUAACACAUGCAAGUCGAACGCUGAAGCUCAGCUUGCUGGGUGGAUGAGUGGCGAACGGGUGAGUAACACGUGAGUAACCUGCCCUCUUCUUUGGGAUAACGCCCGGAAACGGGUGCUAAUACUGGAUAUUCACUGAUUCUCGCCUGGGGGUUGGUGGAAAGGUUUUUUCUGGUGGGGGAUGGGCUCGCGGCCUAUCAGCUUGUUGGUGGGGUGAUGGCCUACCAAGGCUUUUACGGGUAGCCGGCCAGGGAGGGUGACCGGUCACAUUGGGACUGAGCUACGGCCCAGACUCCUACGGGAGGCAGCAGUGGUGAAUAUUGCACGAUGGGCGAAAGCCUGAUGCAGCGACGCCUCGUGAGGGAUGGAGGCCUUCGGGUUGUAAACCUCUUUCGCUCAUGGUCAAGCCGCAGCUUUGGGUUGUGGUGAGGGUAGUGGGUAAAGAAGCGCCGGCUAACUACGUG
rnacentral:rRNA from 1 species